rnacentral:rRNA from 1 species
CCAACAAGCUUGCUUGUUGGGGUUGUAGGACACUCUAUACGGAGUUACAAAGGACGACAUUAGACGAAUCAUCUGGAAAGAUGAAUCAAAGAAGGUAAUAAUCCUGUAGUCGAAAAUGUUGUCUCUCUUGAGUGGAUCCUGAGUACGACGGAGCACGUGAAAUUCCGUCGGAAUCUGGGAGGACCAUCUCCUAAGGCUAAAUACUCUCUAGUGACCGAUAGUGAACCAGUACCGUGAGGGAAAGGUGAAAAGCA